GAGCACUGUUCGCGACCUGUUACCUGGCUGUGGCUAAUGGGUUCCAUUCCAGUGCUACAGCAGUUCCAUCGACACAUGACUGACUGGCUGGUGGCUCUCGGUGUCAGGUCUUGGAGACACAG
rfam:Pteropus alecto contig32239, whole genome shotgun sequence.